rnacentral:rRNA from 1 species
AACGAACGCUGGCGGCAUGCCUAACACAUGCAAGUCGAACGAAGGCUUCGGCCUUAGUGGCGCACGGGUGCGUAACGCGUGGGAAUCUACCCUUGGGUUCGGAAUAACAGUUGGAAACGACUGCUAAUACCGGAUGAUGACUUCGGUCAAAGAUUUAUCGCCCAGGGAUGAGCCCGCGUAGGAUUAGCUUGUUGGUGAGGUAAGGGCUCACCAAGGCGACGAUCCUUAGCUGGUCUGAGAGGAUGAUCAGCCAAACUGGGACUGCGACACGGGCCAGAAUCCUACGGGAGGAAGCAGUGGGGAAUAUUGGACAAUGGGCGAAAGCCUGAUCCAGCAAUGCCGCGUGAGUGAUGAAGGCCUUAGGGUUGUAAAGCUCUUUUACCCGGGAUGAUAAUGACAGCACCGGGAGAAUAAGCUCCGGCUAACUCCGUGCCAGCCGCCGCCGUAACAC